ACUACUUUCAAAAGCAAUCACUUGACAAAGGCACAAAAAGCAGGUAUAAAACUAAAUCCUCUUUAGCAGCCCAGAACUCAGUGUUCAGUAUGAGUUUUGGUACACACAGGAAGGAGCACG
ensembl:snoRNA